rnacentral:lncRNA from 1 species
UUGUAUCAAUAUGGCAUAUUGAUAGUGACAGUUAAGGUUAACUCUAUCAUCAAUUGGUUGUCAUCAUCAAAAAGGGGGAGAUUGUUGAAUCUCAUAUUUUGAAGAUUAAAGCAAUUGAUAGUGUUUAUGAUUUGAUCUAUGUUUUGAGUGAUGCAGGAAGCUUCGAUCAAGGAGAGACAAUUAAAGCAGGAAGAAUCAUGUUGGGUCGGAGAAAAACAUGUCAGAAGAUUGGACGUCGAGCUAGAGGUUCGGUCGAUGUAUCGGUAGAAGGCUUAGGGCCAUGGGUUCAAGCAUCGGGCCAAGAAGAGCAAAAAUUAUGCCAAGAAAAUUGGGGUUGCG